rnacentral:rRNA from 1 species
UACAGAGGGUGCGAGCGUUGUUCGGAAUUACUGGGCGUAAAGCGCGCGUAGGUGGUGUGUUAAGUCUGCCGGUCAAAUGCCGAGGCUCAACCUCGUUGCACGCCGGGGAUACUGGCACGCUAGAGACAAGUAGAGGCAAGCGGAAUUCCGGGUGUAGCGGUGGAAUGCGUAGAUAUGUGGAGGAACACCGAUGGCGAAGGCAGCCCCCUGGGCUAGUACUGACGCUCAUGCACAAAAGCGUGGGGAGCAAACAGG